rnacentral:rRNA from 5 species
CCUGAUGACCAUAGCGAGUCGGCCCCACCCCUUCCCAUCCCGAACAGGACCGUGAAACGACUCCACGCCGAUGAUAGUGCGGAUUGCCCGUGUGAAAGUAGGUAAUCGUCAGGC